UCCAGCAAGCUGAAGACACAGUCAACAGACUUGAUUUGGAUGGACUUGUUGUCAUCGGUGGUGAUGAUUCAAACACUAACGCAUGCCUCCUCGGUGAAUACUUUAGGGGAAGGAACUUGAAGACUCGCGUUAUUGGUUGCCCAAAGACUAUUGAUGGAGAUCUGAAAUGCAAGGAGGUCCCAACAAGCUUUGGAUUUGACACUGCUUGCAAGGUAUUGGGUUUUUUCCCUUAGGCAUCAAUUAGCUAGUUGUCUGCUAGUGUAGUCUAGUUUGUAGGGAUUUAGCUUGUACGGAAACACUCAUAUUGCACCGAUACGAUGAUAAAGUAUGUAUGGAUUAGAUAUAAAGCA